GGCUUUUCGAGGCCGAAACCAAGGAAGGGCCUCCGCGAAAGUUCCUGCUAAAGUUGUUAAGAGGUGCAAGCUGGGGUGUUGCGGGGCAGGUCGCCGGUGGCUGGGCGUGGGGGAUGUUGGCGCGCCAUUUCCGCUCUCAGUUUCUGGUGUGUCUCUCCGCGGCGCUGUGGGAGUCCAGCUUAGUGACUGUUUUGGAUGCAGUUUAAAAGGUUUCUGCACUCCUGGAACCCCGCACUUCGUGGCGUCCCACUGGAGUGAAGCAAGGGGCGAGGAUCUUGGCAGGUGGCGGGUCCAGUAGUGAUGCUGCAGAGAGAAGAGGGGGGAACAGCACCUCACCAGACAGCAGGAGACCAGGACACCAGUGGUUGCCAAGGAAAAUGAAAAUAUGUGUCUACAUGAAAACUUGUACAUGAGUGUCCAUAGCAACUGUCUUUAUAAGCACUGUAAACUGGAAGUGAC